AAUAGAUACCCGGGUAGUCCACGCCGUAAACGUUGGGCGCUAGAUGUGGGGACCAUUCCACGGUUUCCGUGUCGCAGCUAACGCAUUAAGCGCCCCGCCUGGGGAGUACGGCCGCAAGGCUAAAACUCAAAGGAAUUGACGGGGGCCCGCACAAGCGGCGGAGCAUGCGGAUUAAUUCGAUGCAACGCGAAGAACCUUACCAAGGCUUGACAUAUACGAGAACGCUCUAGAAAUAGAGAACUCUUUGGACACUCGUAUACAGGUGGUGCAUGGUUGUCGUCAGCUCGUGUCGUGAGAUGUUGGGUUAAGUCCCGCAACGAGCGCAACCCUCGUUCUAUGUUGCCAGCGGUUCGGCCGGGAACUCAUAGGAGACUGCCGGGGUCAACUCGGAGGAAGGUGGGGAUGACGUCAAAUCAUCAUGCCCCUUAUGUCUUGGGCUUCACGCAUGCUACAAUGGCCGGUACAAAGGGCUGCAAUACCGUAAGGUGGAGCGAAUCCCAAAAAGCCGGUCUCAGUUCGGAUUGAGGU
rnacentral:rRNA from 1 species